AUGUGCGUGUCCCUCAAGUCUCAGGAUCAGUACGUACCAAGCCCGGAAACCAUCGUUCCUUCUACUCCAAGGGACGCUGGCCAGGACCAGAGUCGGGGAAGUGGGGCCCGAUUCACACACCCCGGCCUAAAACUCUCUCGGACCCGAAACCGGGCGAACCCGCCCAGUCAUCUGAAGCUCCACAAACGCCGAGGGGGUCCCGCCCCCGCAGUGCCGGCCGCACACCCAGGCCCAGCUCCAAGGGACGCUGCGGCCCAGACCCGGUGGGCGCACAUCGUCCACGGCCGACCCUGCCCGCUUGGGCCGCGGAUCGGGGGGCGACGGCCCCACCACGCUCAGUCCCGCGCCCCGGGAGGACCCGGCCCGACGGACGACUGCCGCUCACCUGAGGACCCGGCCGCGGCCGGGGCGCGGAGCCCGAGGGGAAAGCGAGCGAGCAGAAGCCCACGGGGCGACAGCGUGUACCGCCGGCCUCAGACUCUAGCUCCCGGAGCGUGUUUUCAAAUAGCCUCGUCCUCACGCGGCCGCGUCUCCUUCCGCCGCCCGGAAAUCAGGGCCCCUCCCCCUCCCCCUUGUGCUCACGUGAUCACAGCCCGCAGCCGCGCGCAGCCAGGGAGGCGGGAGCGGGAGCAGUGGGCCCCGCCCACAGAGGAGGGGACCGCGCCGGAAGCCCCCUGCUUAGAUUUUAAAUGUAAAACUUUUUACUUGGAAGAGGAAGACAAGGUGAGUGAGGUUGCCAUUGAGGAAGAAAAAAAGGAAGAGGAUGAAAAAAGUGAAGAAGAUUCAUCAGACCACGACGAAAAUGAAGAUGAGUUUAGUGAUGAAGAAGACUUACUAAAUAGCACAAAGGCUAAACUUCUGAAGUUGACAAGCGGCAGCAUAGACCCUGGUCUGAGUAUCAAGCAGUUGGGUGGUUUGUAUAUUCAUUUCAAUGCAGAUAAACUACAGUCUAACAAGAAAACCCUAACACAGAUCAAGGAGAAAAAGAAAAAUGAGCUUCUGCAGAAAGCCGUCAUUACACCUGAUUUUGAAAAACACUACUGUGUUCCAUCAUAUAGUGAAUCAAAGUAUCAACUUCAGAAAAAACGUAGAAAAGAAGGACAAAAAACAGCAGGGGAUGGCUGGUUUGGUAUGAAAGCUCCAGAAAUGACAAAUGAACUGAAAAAUGAUCUCAAAGCACUGAAGAUGAGAGCCAGCAUGGACCCGAAAAGGUUUUACAAGAAAAAUGAUAGAGAUGGCUUCCCCAAGUACUUCCAAAUUGGAACCAUUGUUGACAAUCCAGCUGAUUUCUACCAUUCACGAAUUCCCAAGAAGCAGAGGAAAAGAACUAUUACGGAAGAACUGCUGGAUGAUUCUGAGUUCAGAAGAUACAACCGCAGGAAGUACUCAGAGAUCAUGGCUGAAAAAGCAGCAAAUGCAGCAGGAAAAAAGUUCCGAAAGAAGAAGAAAUUUCGCAAUUAAGAUUUACCAAGCAAACUGCAACAUUUUACAUCACCCCUUUAUUUACUUAUUAAAGACGUUUUGAAAA